rnacentral:sRNA from 1 species
AUGAUAAUUUCCCCAAAAUUUAGCUAAAAAUUCAAGUAGUUGUUAGUUAAACUUGCAUGUAUUAUAAAAGACAUUAUACUUUAAACAUCCCUAAUAUUUGAUCAACGUUUUUGUUUUGUUUUUUUUAACUUCUAUCAUGUUUGUUUGGUUGUUUUGAGGUUUUUGUGCUUUUUGUGUUUUUAUCAUUAUUUUUUAAUUCUCUUUACAUUUUUUUUUUACAUAAGUUUAAGUAUACUAUAGUACUGUUAUUGUUUAUACUGUAUGUUUAGAGAUAAAUCUAUAUAUGAUGUGAAUAUGAUAAGAAUCAACGUGAAACUUAAGCUUGUUAAAAUUAACUACUAAUCGGUUUAAAGUAAAACGAUGAAGUUUAGAUAGUGUUGUUCAAUGUUACAUGUAUUAAAAUUAAACUAUGCUUUUGUUUGUUUAUUUGUAAGAUUAAAAUAAAACUAUUUAAAAUUU